rnacentral:lncRNA from 1 species
CCUUUUCUAGGGCCACACCCGUGGCGUAUGGAGGUUUCCAGGCUAGGGGUCUCAUCGGAGUUGUAGUUGCUGGCCAAAACUACAACCACAGCGACCACGUGUGCGACCUACACCACAGCCCAUGGCAACGCGGGAUCCUUAACCCACUGAGUGAGGCCAGUGAUCGAACCCACAACCUCAUGGUUCCUAGUUGGAUUCGUUAACCACUGAGCCACAACAGGAACUCCAGGAACUUCUUUACACCAAGAACCACCAGGCAUGAAGCCAGACAAGGGACAAGGUUGUUGAGAGUGUAUAUAAGAAAGUGAUAUGAUUCAACAUGAAAUUUCAGUUGGGUAGAAGUGAGAGUGAGGGACACUGAAAAGCUUAUAUGGAUAAACAAUGUGCAAGUUUCAGUGGGGCUGAAGAGCUGCUGAAACUCAAAUACAGGGUGGCUGAAUCACACUGAAAAAUAAGCUCACUUGGAGAAGAAAUCAAGGAACUAAGAGGUCAGAAUAUGGGAAGCAUCCUCUACAUCAGUAUUACUCAAAGGAACAGACCAAGACACCCUAAGGAGCUUGUGCCAGAUUAUAUCAAUCAACACAUUGAUUCCUUCAUCAAAAGUUUUGCUAUAAAAAAAGUCAGCUGAAUUCAACAGUGAACUUAAUGACAUAAGUGAUAUACAUUUGGGCACAAACUCCUUACUGCAAUUCAUACUGGUUCACAGAUCAGGUGACAUUUCAGAGUAUCACUGCUCUAAUGGCACUGAUAUCACUAAGAACCAAGAAUUACAACAGAAAUAAAGACGACAGUGAGUCAGAACUAACAGCAUUCAAGGAAAGAGGGGAAUGACCCAGGAAAGUUGGCAGAUGACUGAAAUAAAGAGGGGUCCUGGGUGUAUAAUUUGACAGAAUGAGUGUCAAAGUUUUGGAAAAGAAUGGUCAAGAAAUGACAAUGAGAUAUAAGGAAGACACUCUACCUCUUGGUUCAGCAAUAAAAGAUGUGCAAAAGGAAACAUUUACCACUUGAGAGAGCUCCCAGGUCAGCAGCACUAUCAGGGGAGAGGCUAGGAUUCAGCUGGAGCAAGAAAGAGAAGGAAAUAUUCCCGGACAGACUGACAAUAAAAAGGAUUUGCUAAGGACUAUGAGUUCCAGAAGGCACAUGAAUAGAUUCAGGAAAUUAUAAAAUGUAGGAGAUGAAGACAAAAAAAGCCAAUGGGAUUAGAGUCUGGAGGUAUAAGGGCUAAUGCACACAGAAGAGCGAGGCAAAAAUAAAGAACAAAGCCCUUGAAAAGGCAUUUGUUAGGCCUGGCCUCUGACUAGACUAUAAUGCUCCCUCCAAUAUAACAAUGGACCCUCCAUGCAGAUUGAUGAUAAGGAGGUGAAGGAGGGGACAGGACUAGUUUGAGGAGCAAAGAGAAGGCUGACAGUCUUCCUGUCUUAGGGCUUUCUAGAGAAACGUAAUAUGAUCCGGGGUAUAAUGGUAAUAAGGAGAAACCUGAGGCCCUUUAGCAUAUAGUCAGGGCAUUCUUCAAACAUGAUUCAAGAAUGUUAAAAAAAAAAAAAAAAUCCAAUUUUACAUGCAGAAGUUCCUGGGCCAGGGAUCAAACCUGGGCCACAGCAGUAAUCCGAUCCAAAGCAGGGACAAUGCUGAGUCCUUAAACAAGAGGCUACCAGGGAACUCCCCAACUUUAGUAUUUUGACUAUCAUUAUUCUGCCUUAUGAGUGACUUCCAGGCUUCUAAUCUCUUUCUAGCCUCUUACUUUUCAUUCUAUGGGAAAUAGACUGGCUGGCCCUCUGACUCAGGACCUAGCAAAAACACCAUCAGAAGGCAGGAAACAGUGACCUACACAGGACAACUACCAGAAACAAAAUGUAUUUUACUACAUAAAUGGACUACAGAGAACACUCAAAACCAAAGGGAGAAUAAUAUUGGAGUUCCUUCUGUGGCUCAAGAGGUUAAAGACCCAACGCUGUCUCUGUGAGGAUGCAGUGGGUUAAGGAUUCACCACUGUCGUAAGCUGUGGGGGAGGCUACAGAUGCAGCUCAGAUCCAAUGCUGCCAUGGCUGUGGUGAAUACCUCAGCUGCAGCUGAUUCCAUCCCAAGCCCAGGAAUUUUCAUAUGCCACAGGUGUGGCAGUAAAAAAAAAAAAAAGAUAUCAAAUUUAAAAAUUAAUAAAAUAAAAACUAAACAAACUUUAAAACAACUUUUAAAUUAAGCAAAAUGCAAGAAAGACUAAACCUUAUGACUAUCUAAAGAGUACUAUGUCAGCACAUUAUGUUUUUUAUAUAACAUUUAUUUUGUGUCUACUUUUGUAUCUAACUGAACUGUUAGGUAGAAAGUAAGCUCUGACAUUGCUACAUUCUUUCAGUAGCUCAUGAAAGAUUUUAAGUGUCCACCUCAGCACUUUCUACACAAGAGAACAGAACUCUACUUGAAAAUCUCCAUAGUUAGUUGCACUGAAAAAUACUUGAAGAAACUCUUGUUCCUCCCUUACACAUGUGUCAUUCAUCUAGUAUAUGGAAAACUUCAAAGACAGACUCACUCCCUACACCCUUACCUCCAAACCACUUCAUUAUACUUACCCCCAAACCACUUCAUUAUACUUUAAAAAAGAAUGGAGUGAGCUUCACAACCAUGCCAUAGUGAAGCAAAUCACAAUCAAUAAGAUCAUCUUCAGCAGUUCCCGUCGUGGCUCAACGGUUAAUGAACCCGACUAGGGACCAUGAAGUUGCGGGUUCCAUCCCUAGCCUUGCUCAGUGGGUUGAGGAUCCAGCGUUGCUGUGGGCUGUGAUGUAGGUGCAGACAUGGCUCGGAUCCCUUGUUGCUAUGGCUCUGGCUUAGGCCAGUGGCUACAGCUCCAAUUAGACCCCUAGCCUAGGAACCUCCAUAUGCCUAGAAAAGGCAAAAAAAGGACAAAAAAUAAAAAUUAAAAAAAUCAUCCUAAGAAAUUUUGCAGUAAAUCUAACUUCUCACAUUUUUAUAUGGAUAAUGUACAAUAAAGUGUGUGUGUACAUAUGUAUCACAAUUAUUUUAGCUACCAUAAAAUCCUGUUAAUGAAUUUAUUAACUAACCCUUUAGCACGAGCACAUCUUUUACUUUCAAGCAUAUCAGCGACCAGCAUUUACGAUUUAUCAAAUACCAUUUGUAUGCCAUGAGAACUGAUGAACUUGAAAGAAUUUUAAAGAGCUUAAAAAUAUCUCCUCCAUCCCCAAUUUUUAACUAAUUACCUAACACAUCUGUUAAAUCAGUUAAAAACAUCAGUCCAGCAACAUGUGAGUUUUGGAAUCACGAGUAAAACCAUGGAAAUAGUAGUGAAGAAAUAGAUGGAAAUGAACAGGGAAACAAAUGGGCACUGCUAUGAAGCAUUAUCCAGCUGUUUACACUCUUCAAACUGUUGGGGGGGGGUGGCUUUUCAACAAGUUCAAAAGAAAAGAGGCAGGAAAUUUCUGGAUUGCUACAAGAGAAACUUUACAGUGGCUCUGUAAAGUUAUAUGAGAUUGUGGGACAGGCCAAGGGGUGACACCUCUAGGAUAAAUGUUUUGUGAAAAGCACCCCGAUCAGUUUGACUUGCAUUCUAUUCCAUAUCAUAUAAAAACAACUGCAGUCUACAGCACUAUUUUCAGUAUGACGUUUUUUUAAAACCAACUCUGGCCUAUGCUUUGCACUGUCAGUUCAAACACAAUUUACCAUUUAAACAUGUAGUGUGAAGACUAAAUACCCAAGCUCUCAAAUUCUGGAAAUGAAAAACCUUGUCCUAGCUGUAAAAGAUUCAACCAAUAUCUAUUUAAUUGCCUGCAUAAACUGAUUCUGGUCAAAUAGGAAGAAGCCACUAAUUUAAAUAAAACUAAUACUCAAUUAAUUUUUCACUAUCUAAACUUUGUUUUUCAGUUUUCGAUCAGUCUGGUAAUAGUUAAUCACAGAAAUGCAGACUUUGGCUGAAAACCAGAACAGAGUUUAAAGACAUCAAUAAAAUUUCAGGCUGACAUAACUCUGUGCACACAGCCAGAAUUUGUCCAGUAUUUUAAGUGUCUUCAGAGAUUAAGUUUUGAGCCCUCUUUUAAGAAUGCACUUUUAAAAACUGUAUUUAAGAUGAUUAAGUAAUGAACAAGUUAUUUCUCCUCCUUUUCCUUGACCCAAUCUGUCCUAUUCCUAAACUCAGAAGUGUGGGUUUCUCAGAUUUCACAAAGUUAAUAAUGGAACCUAUUUUAAGUUCCAAAUCUAUAAUUAAUUGAUACAAGGCAUUUUUCAAGUGCCAGAUAUAAACCUAAUAGUUUAAUAAGUCUUACUUCCUAAAUUAUACAUAUAUAUACACAUAGUGUGUAUACACAUACACAAUUAUUACCUUUAUUCAUUUAGCAGAAUUAUAAACAACUACUCUAAAUGGACUACUACAGAUGUUACAAACUGGCAGUAUCUUGCCAACAGAUGUAUUUAAUUUGUGUUAAAACAGUGUCUUAAAACACAAAUUUCAUUCACCAAUGUGUGCAAAUUAUGGGAUGCACAUUAAUCUGGAUUUCCUGUUACCUUAGAGAAAAUAAACUUUCAGAUGAUGUGGAAACGUAAAGUACUUUCCCACACAAUGGCUGGAGCUGAAGACUGGUUGCUUAGAUGAGAAGUGUCCUCCAAUUUGUUGUAGUCCACAGGGUCCCCAUACCUGCCUGGCCCAGGAGACAGUGAGUAGCUACUCCCACUGCCAUGUAAGAUCAAUCCUCUAUGGUUUAUGAUAGCAAUCUUACUUUAGUUACUUAUCCUGAAUGUCAAAGUGUUGUAUGCUACACAAAUGAAGACAAGUAUCCAAUUUCUAAGAGAUAAAUUAGGUCCCUAAGAGGUGGAAUUUUUUUUUAAGUAAAAUGUACAUAAUUUUCAAAUUUUCUCAUAUCUCAUAAAAAUCUUGGAAAAUUGUAAAUAUGCUAUUUGACCUACAGACAAUAAAUGCUUCCAAUACUAGUUAUGGACUUGGACAUUAUUUAUUCCAUAUAGGAUCCUUUAUGAAAGAUCACAGCUCACUCUAAAAUAGCCAUUUACAUAGAACAAUUGAGGCAUUCUUGCUUUAUUUUUUAAAAAAGAUAACAAAAAUAUAUUUCUUAGUCAAAAGACAUUAACAGUAUUUCCACAAAAUUAUACUGAAUUCCAAGAGCAAAAUGGAUCAGUAAGUGAUACUCCCCCCAUCAACCUCUAAAUUUCAUUUCAACCACCUAUUUAUGGAAAACAAAGUUGAAAAAUUUUUUUCUAAACUCUGAUAAUUUUUCAUAAAAUGGCCAUGUGACUUCUAAAAGCUAUUUUAAAAUAGGCCUUAUUUCUGUUACUAAUCAGAAUCUGAUUUGACAAAAGUAUUCUCAUAAAAGAAUGCUAUUAAUAGAAAGAGCACGAACUUUAACAAAGAAGCACAGAAGAAGGUUUUUAUUGAAAAAUUUAAAGGGCAAAAUAUUGGUAUAGUGUAUCACAACACUAUACAAACGAGAACCUAUAGUAACUAGGCAUUAUACUCCAGAAUUCACACAAGUUGACUCAAGAGCGUCUAGCUUUGUUGAUAUCCAGUUCUUAAUGGACAUAAUAUUCCCAGAAAAUAUAAGAGUUGAGGACUUACUCAUAUUUUACUGUGUAACAGAUUUUAGACAAAUUAACAAUUCACUUCUUUGUUACCUUUUUCUGAGACUUUUAGUUUCUAUAAUUCAUUAAUAUGGAUAAACAUUAGAACUGUUUACCCUAAAAUUAUUAUAUUGAGUUUUUGGUUUAUAAUUAUGUUAUAUUUAAGCUGAUAUUAUUACACUAUUUAAAGCGACAAAUAAAAUUUAAUCCCUGAUUUAACUUUGACCUUUCUUCUGCAAAUAAUGGUUGAGAGGAUGUGUUCUCAUGCCAAUCUUUUUAUUAGCAGAAUUAAUAUGAAUAAAUUAUUUUAGAAUUUUAAAAGUUUACUGAUUGAUGCUUUCUCAUCAAAACCAUUCAUAUUUGCAGGAGCAAAAAAAAAAAAAAAAAAAAAAAAA